rnacentral:rRNA from 1 species
ACGCUGGCGGCGUGCCUAAUACAUGCAAGUAGAACGCUGAAGGAGGAGCUUGCUUCUCUGGAUGAGUUGCGAACGGGUGAGUAACGCGUAGGUAACCUGCCUGGUAGCGGGGGAUAACUAUUGGAAACGAUAGCUAAUACCGCAUAACAGUAGAUGUUGCAUGACAUUUGCUUAAAAGGUGCAAUUGCAUCACUACCAGAUGGACCUGCGUUGUAUUAGCUAGUUGGUGGGGUAACGGCUCACCAAGGCGACGAUACAUAGCCGACCUGAGAGGGUGAUCGGCCACACUGGGACUGAGACACGGCCCAGACUCCUACGGGAGGCAGCAGUAGGGAAUCUUCGGCAAUGGACGGAAGUCUGACCGAGCAACGCCGCGUGAGUGAAGAAGGUUUUCGGAUCGUAAAGCUCUGUUGUAAGAGAAGAACAGGUGUGAGAGUGGAAAGUUCACACUGUGACGGUAUCUUACCAGAAAGGGACGGCUAACUACGUGCCAGCAGCCGCGGUAAUACGUAGGUCCCGAGCGUUGUCCGGAUUUAUUGGGCGUAAAGCGAGCGCAGGCGGUUAGAUAAGUCUGAAGUUAGAGGCUGUGGCUUAACCAUAGUACGCUUUGGAAACUGUUUAACUUGAGUGCAAGAGGGGAGAGUGGAAUUCCAUGUGUAGCGGUGAAAUGCGUAGAUAUAUGGAGGAACACCGGUGGCGAAAGCGGCUCUCUGGCUUGUAACUGACGCUGAGGCUCGAAAGCGUGGGGAGCAAACAGGAUUAGAUACCCCUGGUAGUCCACGCCGUAAACGAUGAGUGCUAGGUGUUAGACCCUUUCCGGGGUUUAGUGCCGCAGCUAACGCAUUAAGCACUCCGCCUGGGGAGUACGACCGCAAGGUUGAAACUCAAAGGAAUUGACGG